UUAUUGAGAAUUCAUCUUUCUCUGAGUUUACAUUUGUCUUUUCCCCCCUCCCUCUUCAGUAUAUUUAAGUUUUACGGUAUUAUUUAUCUUCACUUUCCUUUUAACUUUCUGAGCAUCUCCUGAGGGUGACAAUAGAAUUUUCUCCUAAGAAAGAAACGUUAACUCUUCUCUUUCUAUUCUGCAGUCAUGCUUAUUAUAGACACACAGGCACAAAGAGAUGUAAUUACCCCUCACUAUUCAUUUGUGUCCAGAUUUAUUGGUUUAAUUACAUCAUCAGAAUGCACUCUACAAGAAUAGCCUUUAUAGCAAAUAUAAUAAUGUGGACAGUAGUCUACAAAAGGCUUUUCACAGCCACUAAUUCAAGUUAUAAAUUUUUUAAUGAUCCCCCCAAAACAGAUGGAGAAAAUAAUAUCCUCUGAGGAUGUAACUGAGGCCUAAAAAUAUUGUUUCAAAAAAAAAAAAAAUCAAAGGGCCUUAUCUUAUGGAUAUAUUCCAAUCCUUUUUGCCUAUUUUGGUUUUAAAAUUCCUAAAGAGUAGAAAUGUCAUCAUUGCAAUGAUCUGUCCACUGUCUAUUCAUGUCAGUAAUCAAAUAUCAACAUUUAUGAUUAUUUCUGAUAUUGCUGUCUAAAGAUUAAAAAAUCAUCAAUAUCUCAAUGGUUAGUGAGAAAGAAAAUAAAAUUGUCCAAAGCUUUUAGAUUUAACUGAAGAGGAUCAGGAUGACUCAAAACAAACAGUUGUAAAAUAGACUUCUGCUCCAUUGUAUGAUAAUAAUAAAAAAAUACUCAGAACAAUAGUUUGAAAGAAGAUAUAUAAAGCAGUAUUUAAAAAAAUACUCCAACCACAGUGGGAAAGGAUAUUUUUAAUACCUGUACUAUGAAGAUAGGCCAUUUGGGAGGAAAGAUUAUGUCACAAAUCAAAACAUAUUUGAUAGAUCAAAGUCAGUUUCAGCAAUUUGUGGCUCCUGAAGCAAUCAAUAAUGUCCAGCUACACAAAAAGCUUGUCCAAUUAGAUGAUGGACUCAGAUAAAUCACCCUGACACACACAUCUUAAGCCCUGAAUGAAGGCGCUAUCAACCCCUUCCAUAACUUUAGAGAGUUUGUGAGGCAAACCUGAAAAAGAAUAAGAAUAUAAAGACAAUUAACAAAGCUGGAGUUCCCCUUGUGGCUUGAACUCAACUAGUAUCCAUAAGGAUGCAGGUUCAUUUCCUGGUCUUGCUCAGUGGGUUAAGGAUCUGGCAUUUCCAUGAGCUGUGCUGUAGGUCUCAGAUGUGGCUCAUGUCUGGCAUUGCUGUGGCUGUGGUGUAGGCCUGCAGCUGCAGCUCUGAUUUGAUCCCUAGUCUGGGAACUUCCACAUGUGGCUGGUGUGGUCCUAAAAAAGAGGAAAAAAAACCUAAAUAUGCUGUACACUUUUAUAACAAAGUAUACUGAUCAGUAUUGUAAUCAUUGUAAUAUUGUUUCUUUUUUUCUGUUUUUUAAAAUGUGUUUAAAACAUUUAAGAAAAGCUUAUAUUACACUUGUAGUUUCAGUUAAAUGAAAAAAUACUACGUUUAGCACCAAUAUUUGCAUAACAGAAGUUUUAUAAAGUUUUAGUUUAUAAACUAUUUUAGUAAUGUGUGCAUGUUUGCACAUAUAUUAAUUGUCUAAAGGUUUUUAUUUUUAUUUUUUUAAUUUUUUUAAAAUUUUUUGUCUUUUUAGGGCCGCACCCAUGACAUAUGGAGGUUCUCAGGCUACAGGUCUAAUUGGAGCUGUGCUUCUGGCCUAUGUCACAGCCACAGUGACGCCAGAUCUGAAUCACAUCUUCCACCUACACCACAGCUCAUGGCAAUGCCAGAACCUUAACCCACUGAGUGAGGCCAGGGAUUGAACCUGCAUCCUCAUAGAUGCUAGUCAGAUUCAUUUCCGCUGAGCCACAGUGGGAACUCCAAUUGACUAAAGGUUUUUAAAUUGGACUUUAGACAGGGUACAAAUGCUGAGUAAUCCUUUUCUCACAGAAGAAUCCUUCAGGCAUCAAAGAAGUUGUCAACACUGAUGAAAUGCUACAAAGUGAGAGAAAACCGAAGCUGAUUUCCACAUUUGCCUGUCCUAUGAGUAGCUCACUAGGCAGACAAUUUAAGGUACUUUAGUCACAGGAAGGUGCCGGUAUUACGUAGAAUAUCUGAAAAAUCAAUGUCAUCCAUUAGCAUUGAGCUAUUACCAUGAAGUGGGAAGAGGGAAUUUUGGAACUCUAAAUCAUAACUGCCAUUAUGUUUGCAGGUGGUCCAUACCAUAGAAAUGUUUUCUUUGAGCAAUCCUAGAAAUCCCAAAUUAUCCUGUAGAGUUGUACCUGUCAUUACGAAAAUUUUAGGUUAGGGCAAUUGGUAUUUAAAAUUUACAUAAAAUUUAUGAAUUAAACAUUUUUUAAACAUCUAUCUUCAGGCUUUAAAGUAGUCAAUCUAGAAAAACAAUAGUUUUUCUAAAUCUCAAAGGGCAAAAAUGAAUGAUUCCUGGGGGUGAAUGUGAAGAAUCCUGCGGCUUUUGGGAUAGUUUUUGGUUUUUACUUUGCCUCGUGGACAUUAAAAGCCAAAGGAAUCUCUCUGCCUGAUGAGUUUGAAUCAUGAAAACUGGAACAGUUCAGUUUGUGCACAUAGUUU
rnacentral:lncRNA from 1 species